ACUUGGUGAUGUGGACAUUUUCAGAGCAAGUCCCUUAAGUGUUCCCAAGUCUCGAAAAAGAGUUCCCCAUAAUUUUGUGAGAAACUUGUGAUGGCUCUUCGAAGUU